rnacentral:misc_RNA from 1 species
AACGAGUCAAAGCUCUUCUCCCUUUUCAACAAAUCUUCUCAUUUUUCUCCUUUUCUGGUUCCUCAGAUACUUUGAGGAAGUUGGUAGGGGGGGUGAUUUGAGCUAGAGAUCGGUCUUUUGGCUAUCUGUUUCGUCGUUAUAAGAUGCACUUCUGGUCAUCAUCAUACCAAAAUGCAGUUAUUAGGCUGGUUUUUAUAUCUAAAUGGACACCAAGAAGUUCAUCCAAUUGGUUGAGGAGAAGAAGAAGAGGGCUUUGGAGAAGAAGGAAGCCCCAUUGAAAUGGGAACAGAAACUUGAAGCUGCUGCCAAGGCGAAGGCUGAUGCUGAAGCCAAAGCAAGGAAGAUCAAGGCUUCCAAGCAUAAAAGAAGAUCCAUAUCAGAUUCUGAUACUGAUUCAGAAAGUGAUAGCCAUGAUGGAGGAAGGAAAGCAGGUAAGAGAAGUCAUAAGAAGCACAGGAAACAUAGCCACUCUGAUUCGGGUGACAUUGAGAAGAGAAAAGAUAGAAAAUCUAAGAGAAAACUGAAACGACAUCGCUCAUCUCAUGAUGACAGCAGUGACGAAUUUGACCACUCUAGUGAAGAUAGGAGGAAGAAGAGAAACCAUAGAAGACAUGCUCAUGACAAUUCAAAUUCGGAUGAAAGUUACUCUAGUUCUAGUGGUGAUGAUGUUGAGACGACAAAAAGAAGUCAUUCCAGGCAUCACAGACAUCAUAGGCGAAUUGACUAUUCAUCAUCUGACGAUUCUAGCAGUGAGGAUGAUACUGCUUUGCGAAGGAAAAAGCGUGUCAGACACCACAGGCCCCACCAUCGCCACGUGCAGUCUCAUCGAUCAUGUAGUAUUGAUUCAUCAGACCGUAAUUACUGGAGGUGUGAUGCCAGAAGCCAAUCCUCAGGGAAGUCAUCUGAUGAUAAUCAUGAAGAAUCAGCAAUAUUAGAAUCCAGGCACAAGAGUAGCCACCAUAUCAAACCCCGGCACCAUCAUUCAGGUGCCAAUGGUUUGACCCAGAUCGAUGAAAAACAUGCUGACAAUGAUGCUGAUGAAAAUGACCAUGAUCGUGCUAAGGAUUCUCACUAACCCCAAAUACUACUAGAUGAUGGGGAUACUACUUGUGAUUCUUUCAGAUAUUGGUUUAUUGUUCCUGCUAUGCGUUCGUUUUACGUGGACUGCUUAUAUAUCAUUGUUAAGACAC